GUUCUUACCGGGUCUCCAAUCUGUUGGCCUACCUUGCAGAAUUUGGACUUCACUGCUUCAAUAAUCAUUGUAUUUCCUCUUGAAUAUCAUUCUGAUUUGGUCCCUUUGAAUGUCAACUUAUUAACUGUGGUCCACAGAGCAGGCAAUGAGAAAAGAGCACCCCAUAACAGGUGGCUAUAUGAUCACUGCUUAUUCAGAGCAAGAAGACAUCCUAGUUGUUCUCCUUUAUGCCCAUUUUCCAUUUUCCCCUUUCUCUUUGGCAAAGAUACAGUUAAAAAAAAAAGAAUCAACAAAUAAAAACUCUACU